CAGGGAUUACACAUAGCUAGGAUUAUAGACAUGUGCAGCUUGUUAGUUGAAAUGGGGUCUCACUAACUUUUUGCUUUUGCUUGCCCUGAAUCACAAUCCUACCACACUUCACCUUCCAAACAGCAAAGAUUUUUGUUGUUGUUGUUUUGGUUUGAUUUGGUUUUUAGUGCCAAUCCUGGGCCUUGAAUUCAGG